rnacentral:rRNA from 1 species
UACGUAGGGUGCAAGCGUUGUCCGGAAUUAUUGGGCGUAAAGAGCUCGUAGGCGGUUUGUCGCGUCUGCUGUGAAAACCGGAGGCUCAACCUCCGGCCUGCAGUGGGUACGGGCAGACUAGAGUGCGGUAGGGGAGAUUGGAAUCCUGGUGUAGCGGUGGAAUGCGCAGAUAUCAGGAGGAACACCGAUGGCGAAGGCAGAUCUCUGGGCCGUAACUGACGCUGAGGAGCGAAAGCGUGGGGAGCGAACAGG